ACCAGCACACACCUCUCUUAUUUCAUUCUUCCUGGUCGGCUAAGACAAGAACAAAGAGAAAAAAGAAGAGAACAAACCCUAGUGAGCAAAAAUUCAAGGGAAAAUUGGUGAAUUUCAAGGAAUUAAGCAAGUAAAGGUGGUGAAUCCUCCGAAAAAGGGUAAAAAAAUUGCACCCGAGGAUCAAUAGUCAGAGUACUCCAAAAUCCGAACUCUUGACAUACUUGCUGCAGUGGGCGGGUUUUAUGGACCAGCCUAUUAGAGGGGCAUAGAAUCUGGUUAUAUUCGUACCUCGAUCGAAGAGGCGCGUAGGGUAUCUCCUGAGGUAUGGUUAGAGUUCACGUCACGCCGAACCACCUCAUGAUGAUGAACU